UACGAAGGGUGCAAACGUUGCUCGGAAUUAUUGGGCGUAAAGCGCACGUAGGCGGCAUUGCAAGUCGGAUGUGAAAUCCCUCGGCUUAACCAAGGAAGUGCAUCCGAAACUGCAGUGCUUGAGUACUUAAGAGGAUCGCGGAAUUCCCGGUGUAGAGGUGAAAUUCGUAGAUAUGACAUAGAACACCAAUUGCGAAGGCAGCUCGCUACACAUAUAUUGACUCUGAGGCACGAAAGCGUGGGGAUCAAACAGG
rnacentral:rRNA from 1 species